CUCCUACGGGAGGCAGCAGUGGGGAAUAUUGGACAAUGGGCGCAAGCCUGAUCCAGCCAUGCCGCGUGUGUGAAGAAGGCCUUCGGGUUGUAAAGCACUUUUGUUGGGGAAGAAAAGCUUCCGGUUAAUACCCGGGAGUCAUGACGGUACCCAAAGAAUAAGCACCGGCUAACUUCGUGCCAGCAGCCGCGGUAAUACGAAGGGUGCAAGCGUUACUCGGAAUUACUGGGCGUAAAGCGUGUGUAGGUGGUUUGUUAAGUCUGAUGUGAAAGCCCUGGGCUCAACCUGGGAACUGCAUUGGAUACUGGCAGGCUUGAGUGCGGUAGAGGAUAGCGGAAUUCCCGGUGUAGCAGUGAAAUGCGUAGAUAUCGGGAGGAACAUCUGUGGCGAAGGCGGCUAUCUGGACCAGCACUGACACUGAGGCACGAAAGCGUGGGGAGCAAACAGGAUUAGAUACCCUGGUAGUCCACGCCCUAAACGAUGCGAACUGGAUGUUGGGUGCACUUAGGCACUCAGUAUCGAAGCUAACGCGUUAAGUUCGCCGCCUGGGGAGUACGGUCGCAAGACUGAAACUCAAAGGAAUUGACGG
rnacentral:rRNA from 1 species